ACUUCCAUUGCUUCAUGAGGGGCAAGUAAUGGUAGCGCCACUGGAUGAAGUUACACAUUUUCUUUCCCUUGUGCACCGGUCAUGAUUCUGAUGAAUAAGAAAGUCAAUGAUCUGAUUUCAAAAGGAUUGUUUGACCAAAUAGUCAAAUUCGUCGGAACUUCCCAACUCCAUUUUCCCGGAAAUCUCGAAUUCCAUGAAAAUGCUUAUUCUUCACUUCUUCCUUCCAUUUUCAAAGCAUGCUCUGUUUCGCCAACCCAAUUCCUUCCUAUCGGAAUUCAAUUCCACGCCGUUUCAAUCAAAACUGGUUCCGACUUGGAAUCGAUUACAUCCAAUUCACUCCUUUCAAUGUAUGCAAAAUCCGGUCAGAUUGAAUAUGCCCGUAAAGUGUUUGAUACAAUGCCUGUAAGAGACAUCAUCACUUGGAAUUCUAUGAUCAUUUCUUAUAUCCAGCAAGGAUAUUUUGUCGAAGCAAUAGAGAAGUUUAAGGACAUGUAUUUGUUGGUUCAUGAACCUAAGAAGCCUGAGUUGGUUGCUAGUGUUCUGUCAGUGUGUGGCAAGACUGGGGAGUUGAGGUUAGGGAGACAAAUUCAUGCACGCAUUGUCUGCGAUGGGAUGAUGACCAGUUCACCAUCUUCCGUUUUUGUAUCCACUGCUCUUGUGGAUAUGUAUUCUAGAUGUUUUGAUGUGUUUACGGCUUUAGAAGUAUUCAGUCAAAUGAUUGAAAGGAAUGAAGUGUCUUGGACAGCUAUGAUAUCCGGGUGUGUUACAAAUGAAAAUUUUAGCAAGUCACUUGAGCUAUUUCGAACAAUGCAGAUUACAGAAGGUAUUGAACCCAACAGAGUUACGCUUAUCGAAGUGUUACCUGCUUGUGCACAUUUCAGUGAUGUGAAGCAGGGGAAACAGAUACAUGGGUAUGCGAUUCGUCAUGGGUUUGAUUCAGAAUCUCGUUUCGAAGCAGCUCUACUAGAUAUGUAUUGUAAAUGUGGAGCGGCAACACUUUUCCAUGCUUCACUUGUUUUCGAGAGAUCAGCGCAGAAGGACGUUGGUAUGUGGAGUUCAAUGAUCAGAUGUUAUUCACAAAAUGGAGAUACAGGAAGCGGUAUGAAGCUUUUCCAACAAAUGAGGAUGGCAGGAACCAGACCAAACUCCGUGACUUUGCUUGCAAUUAUUGAUGCAUGCACUUUUUUGUUGUCAGUGAAGCAUGCUGAAGUAGUCCAUGGGUACAUUGUAAAAUCUGGAUUGAGUUUAUAUGUUUUUGUAGGGAAUUCCCUCAUUGAUAUGUAUGCAAAAUGUGGAUACGUUGAGGCUUCUCGCAAGAUUUUCAGUCAUGAGAUCCAUACAAGAGAUUAUAUAUCUUGGAGUGCCAUCAUCCAUGGUUAUGCUCUCAAUGGGAAUGGCAGAGAAGCUCUGAGGCUAUUCCGCGAAAUGCAAAAGACAGAGAUUGAGAUAGAUGGAAUAACGUUCCUUUCUGCUCUAUCAGCUUGUAACCAUUCCGGACUCAUUGAAGAGGGUCAAGAGCUCUUCAACAGUGUGAUCCAAAAUAAGAGCAUAAGUGUGACAGUAGAGCAUUACGCAUGCUAUAUUGAUAUUCUUGGGCGCUCUGGCAAGCUUGAAGAAGCCUGCCAAGUCUUAAGUAACAUGCCCAUGAAACCCAGUGCGGCAAUUUUGAGCUCUUUGGUAUCAUCUUGUAAGGUCCAUGGUAGACUCAAAAUGGCAGAAGUUCUAGCAAAGUGGCUUAUUGAUUUGGAGCCUGAUAAUGCAGCAAACUAUACCUUACACUCUAUGGUUUCUGCAGAAAUGAAUAACUGGCUCGGAGUUGAAGAAAUAAGGAGAGGUAUGAGAAGCAAAGGACUAAUAAAGUCCUAUGGGUACAGCUGGAUCGAACCUGAUUGCGGAGCUAAACAAAGAGCCAGUAUCUUCUAGCUCAUUCUCUCUUUCUGCAAGUAGUUCUUUGUCUGGCUGAAUCAUUAUUGGCUCCUCUAACAAGAAUUUUUCCAGAGAAAAGGUCACUCUCCAGUUCUGGCUCUGCUGAGCUUGUGGUAUUUGUUAAAGAUGAUGCUGAGCAAGGGACUGACGAAGAGUUUGGUGAUGCAAACCUUGUGGCAACUGCUUUAAUGUCAUUUUUCGAGUAGGAGAUUG